UCUGUCCCUGGGCCUGGCCCAAUGCAGAGCCUGCUCUGAUCAGUUUCUGGAAUCAGGCAGGGGCAGGGUACCUGGUCUCACUUCACUCCAGCCCCUCGCGGCUCGUCGGGAAGUCCUGGCUGUGGCUGCGGAACACAGAUCUGUCCUCAGAUGCUGCUGGGCUUUGCCUGGAGAUGUGUGCUCCCGGUGGGGCCUCCACUUUUCCACUGAGUCCGAGGUCCUGGUUCACGGGUUUGUUGCAAAGAACAAAGGAAUGCGCAAGAAAACACAUGCUGCUACAGAUGGUCACCUCUACUCCAGUGGAAAGCUGUCCUAAUGGAGCCAGAGAACAUAAAAUAUCAAGGUUCAAUGUGAGAUGCGGAAGUUGAAGAAGAAUGGCUGCUGAACCAAUGGUUUCUCCUUUAUGUAGCCCCUAUGUGGGCAUAGGGGAUGGGAGAGAGUCUGAGAGCUGAUCCUGAAAAGAUGGUGCUUAUUUUCUGACCUGUUGAACACUGAGCUCAGAGGGACAGUAGAAUUGCUGCAUAGAUCAAGAGAUACAAGAAUAGAGGAAACUGCUGUCCAGCUCUAUGUCCACUUCCCUGGGAUACUGGAUUAAUCAGCUUUUGCUAAGUAACAAAUAGUCCCAGAAUCUUUUGACA